AUGGCCACCCACGCUCUCCUCUCCAUCGCCGUGCUCCUCGUCGUCUGUGCAGCCCCGGGAGCGCUCGCGCAGACGGUGCAGGUCUGGGACCAGUGCUCGCCGGCGAACUACACCGCGGUGAGCACCUACGGGGCCAGCCUCCGCGGCGUGCUCAGGGACGUGGUCGCCGCCGCCGGCCGCUCCCGCGACGGCUACGCUACCGUGUUCCGCAGUCAGCAGGCGAAGGAUGGCGCGCCGUACGGGCUGGCCUUGUGCUACGCGGACGCCGGCCCGCCGGAGGUGUGCCGGCUGUGCCUGCGCAUGGCGGCCGGGAACGUGACGCUGUUAUGCCCGCGCGCUGCGUCCGCCACCAUACUGUACAACAAUUGCUUGCUCCGGUACGCGGACCCGGCGGCGGACGGGAGGGAGCUCGCGCGGCCGGAGGCGGACACGGUGCAGAGGUUCUCCUUCUACAACGGCAACAUGACCAGCGCCGGCGAGGCCGACAGGUACGGCGCCGCGCUCAAUCGGCUCAUGGACCGCCUCGCUCCCGCCGCCGCCGAGGCCGGAGCGAACGGCCAGCCGCGUCCGCUUGCCGCGUUCGGGCAGACCAACAUCACCGCCGACGAGAGCCUUUACGGGUUCGCGCAGUGCGUGGCGGGCCUGUCCCCCGCCGACUGCCGCCUCUGCCUCCAGAGAAUCGCCGCGUCGUUGCCCAUGACGAAAGGAGGGCGGGCCUACUCGCUGACAUGCUACACGAGGUUCGAGGUGGUGCCCUUCUACAUGCCGCCCAACACAACCAGGAUCGUCGUGGCUCCGGCGCCGGCGCCGGCGCCGUCGUCCCCCUCAAGAGCUUCGAAUCGUCGCAAGUUGGGCAUAAUUGUGGGAGUUUCGGCCGUUGCAAUAAUUGUUUUGGUCGCGACGUGCUCCAUUAUUGCUCUGAAGAUUCACAGAAGUGGAAGAUCUCCAUUUCCGUCAUUGACAGGAAAGGACUACAACGACCGUAGGGACAACAUCAAAAAAAUAUUGGGCAACUACGGCUCACUAGCUCCCAGGAGGUACCAAUUCUCACACCUCAAGAAAGUAACCAAAUCAUUUGGUGAAAAGCUAGGGCAGGGUAGCUAUGGCAUGGUAUACAAGGGCACCCUAGCAAAUGGCCGCCAUGUCGCUGUCAAGUUCCUUCAUGACACGACCGGAAAUGGAGAAGAAUUUGUAAAUGAGGUCAUCAGCAUUAGAAGGACAUCCCACGUCAAUGUUGUCACUCUGCUUGGUUUCUGUUUGGAGGGUUCAAAGAGAGCUCUCAUCUAUGAUUAUAUGCCUAAUGGGUCAUUGGACAAAUUCAUCUACACCGAGAAUUCGAAACAAGCUCUUGGAUGGGAGAUACUAUAUGAGAUCGCAACGGGCAUCGCGAGAGGAUUGGAGUAUCUUCACCGAGGGUGUAACACACGAAUCAUACACUUUGACAUCAAGCCCCAAAACAUCCUCCUGGACCAGGACUUCGUCCCGAAGAUUGCCGAUUUUGGUCUGGCGAAGUUGUGCAACCCCAAGGAGAGCUACCUAUUGUCGAUGGAUGGCAUGAGGGGUACGGUCGGGUUCAUAGCGCCUGAGGUCUUCUCGAGGCGGUACGGGGUCGUGUCGACAAAGUCGGAUGUGUACAGCUUCGGUAUGGUGCUCUUGGAGAUGGUCGGUGGAAGGAAGAACUUGCGAGCAAGUGUUGAGAGGGAAAGUGAGGUGUACUUCCCGGAUUGGGCUCACAGUCACCUCGCACAAUUUGGGAGCUUGCAACCAUUUGACUUGGGAUUUGAUGGACCUGAAGAGAUCGCAAAGAAGAUGGCCACUAUCGGGCUGUGGUGCAUACAAAUAUCGCCGGCGUCUCGCCCGACGAUGAGCAAGGUUCUGGAAAUGUUUGAGAAGAGCGCCGAUGAACUCGAGAUACCGCCAAAGCAGUUCAUCUACUCACCUAUACAGGAUGACUCAGAUGAACUACAGAAGGAGAGCAGGGUUUCUAUGGACACUAGCAGAACUAGCUAG
rnacentral:rRNA from 1 species